ACAUUUUCAAGCCGAACCGAAUUGAGCCAAUUAACUCUAUUCGUUUGGCCCAAAUAUCCUAACUUGUUAGCCCAAAAGAUAAUACAGUAAUAAACUCUCGUUCUUGAGCGCACCGUAAAAAGUUCAAUCAAGGAGUGUCAUUGUGUCAAGUUAGGGUUAGGUCCAAAUUUUUUUAUGGUGACUUUAUCUACUAAUGAGUAAUGAGUAAUGACCCCAUUUUAUUUAUCAUCUUCAACAAAACAGAACUCAAAACCAAUGGCAGAACCAUCACCAAACGAAGAAGACUACUCUGCCUCAGCAACCCUCAUCCACUUCGACCGCCCUCUUCCUCUCCUCCGCCGCCCCAUUCCCGACGGCCCGACCGACGACCCGGAACUCGGCCCAUUCGUCUUAGCAUUCCCUAACCCGCAAUCCUUCUACUCUUCCCUCAAAUUCUGCGAGUCGAAGCUUCUGGAGCUGUGUGAAGCAGGGGUACGAAUUGGGUGCUCCAUAACCGCAUCAAACAACUGUAAAUCUCCUUGGUGGAAGACCCUUUUCGGGAAAAUCGAUUUCAAAGAGAGAAACGAGUGUGAGGAGAGAGAAAUGGCUGCUUGUCUUCAAGGGUCGAAGGAAAAAUGUGGGGAGUUAUCCAAGGAGAAGUGUUUGGGCCCGUUUGGGUCGGCCCGGAUUGCUUGUAGAGAGAGAAAGUUGAGGAAGAAGGAGGUGGGUGAGUUGAUUUCUUGGGUCUCGGGUUUGGGUCUUUUCAAUGGGAAUUUAGGGUUUGAAAUGUUGGCUGGGAAUCAAUUGGGGUUGCUUUCUGUAUUGGAUUUGAGUUAUGAAGUCACUAAUUUUAGAGGGUCCGAGCUAUUGGGAGAUAGAAAUCAACCCAAUUGAUGGAGAAAUAUUUUUGUAUUUUUAAUCUGAUUGUUGAGGUGUAUAGAGGGCCGCAAAGGGAAAUGAUGUAGACGAGAUUUGUCCGAGGUCUAGCAUAGAGAGCCAUAAAGACAAUGAUGGUAGAAAGAUAAGAAACAUUGUUGAAGAUAGGAGUGUUUUUUCAGGUAUAAUACCUCAAUUUGUGCCUUUGAGUGGGAAACUUUGCCUUUUGGGGGGUUUUUCAGAUCAGUGUUGUGGCUCAUAUUGCGAAUUUAUGACCUUGAGAUAAUUAUGGGAUGUAUUGUGUGAUUCUGAUUACAGUGAAAUCGCUGAGUUGAAUUUCAGAGCAUGUUUGGUAAUUGAAGACUAUUUGGGGGUACAAUGAAAAAUAUAUUGCAUUGGCUUUAACAAGUCAGGUUAUCUGAGUUGCUUAUUAUAUUGGUAGAAAGAUGGAACCUACUGAACUAUUGUAAUGGCCAGUGGCUGGGCUAGAGGAAGAGCAUGUAAUAAGGUCUCGACUGACAAGAUUCAAGCUUCCUCGACUGCACAUAUAGGAGCUGUUGUAUAUGUUUCGUUAUCUGUUGCGCCACAACUUCAGGUUUUGGCAUCAACACUACAUUGGUUUUAGCCUUGUGGGCUAUUUUUAAGAAUCCCUUUCUGGUCAUUUUGCAUGUGUAAUCAGUAUCGGCAUAACAUAAGGAUGGUGUAUAUAGAAUUUUCUAUUAGGAACAGAUGAAUUGAUGAAUAAGUAUUAAUUAUAGUAUUUGAAGGCUACUAAUUAUUGCAUUA